rnacentral:rRNA from 1 species
GACGGAAGGUGCAAGCGUUGCUCGGAAUCACUGGGCGUAAAGGGUGCGUAGGCGGCUUGGUGGGUCUGGUGUGAAAGCCCCGGGCUCAGCCCGGGAAGGGCACUAGAAACUGCCGAGCUGGAGUGCCGGAGGGGAGAGUGGAAUUCCUGGUGUAGCGGUGAAAUGCGUAGAUAUCAGGAGGAAUACCGGUGGCGAAGGCGGCAUCCUGGACCGACAUUGACGCUGAGGAGCGAAAGCUAGGGGAGCAAACGGG